UAAUACAGAGGGUGCAAGCGUUAAUCGGAAUUACUGGGCGUAAAGCGAGCGUAGGUGGUCAUUUAAGUCAGAUGUGAAAGCCCCGGGCUUAACCUGGGAACUGCAUCUGAUACUGGGUGACUAGAGUAGGUGAGAGGGAAGUAGAAUUCCAGGUGUAGCGGUGAAAUGCGUAGAGAUCUGGAGGAAUACCGAUGGCGAAGGCAGCUUCCUGGCAUCAUACUGACACUGAGGUUCGAAAGCGUGGGUAGCAAACAGGAUUAGAUACCCUGGUAGUCCACGCCGUAAACGAUGUCUACCAGUCGUUGGGUCUUUUAAAGACUUAGUGACGCAGUUAACGCAAUAAGUAGACCGCCUGGGGAGUACGGCCGCAAGGUUAAAACUCAAAUGAAUUGACGGGGGCCCGCACAAGCGGUGGAGCAUGUGGUUUAAUUCGAUGCAACGCGAAGAACCUUACCUGGUCUUGACAUACCAAGAAUUCGCUAGAGAUAGCUUAGUGCCUUCGGGAACUUGGAUACAGGUGCUGCAUGGCUGUCGUCAGCUCGUGUCGUGAGAUGUUGGGUUAAGUCCCGCAACGAGCGCAACCCUUUUCCUUAGUUACCAGCGACUCGGUCGGGAACUCUAAGGAUACUGCCAGUGACAAACUGGAGGAAGGCGGGGACGACGUCAAGUCAUCAUGGCCCUUACGACCAGGGCUACACACGUGCUACAAUGGUUGGUACAAAGGGUUGCUACACAGCGAUGUGAUGCUAAUCUCAAAAAGCCAAUCGUAGUCCGGAUUAGAGUCUGCAACUCGACUCUAUGAAGUCGGAAUCGCUAGUAAUCGCAGAUCAGAAUGCUGCGGUGAAUACGUUCCCGGGCCUUGUACACACCGCCCGUCACACCAUGGGAGUUGAUCUCACCAGAAGUGGGUAGCCUAACGCAAGAGGGCGCUCACCACGNNGNCGUNNU
rnacentral:rRNA from 1 species